GACGAACCGUGCGAACGUUAUUCGGAAUCACUGGGCUUAAAGCGCGUGUAGGCGGGCCGGCACGUCGGUCGCUGAAAUCCCCCGGCUCAACCGGGGAAGGGGCGCCGAUACGACCGGCCUGGAGGGGCGUAGGGGGACCGGGAACUUCCGGUGGAGCGGUGAAAUGCGUUGAGAUCGGAAGGAACGCCCGUGGCGAAAGCGCGGUCCUGGACGCCUGCUGACGCUGAGACGCGAAAGCCAGGGAGCGAACGGG
rnacentral:rRNA from 1 species